rnacentral:tRNA from 1 species
GAUGUGGCUCAGUAGUGGAACACCUGCUUGGCAUGCAGAAGGUCCCAAGUUCAAUCCCUGGCAUCUCCA